GGGGAAUUAGCUCAGUUGGUAGAGCGCUUGCAUGGCAUGCAAGAGGUCAGCGGUUCGAACCCGCUAUUCUCCAC
rnacentral:tRNA from 2 species